GAGCCGAGGGCUCCCCGGGUUCAAAGGGCCGCAGCCCCGAGGGAAUGCCCUCCUCGCUGUGCCCCGAGGGGCAGAAGCGGACCGCAGGGCGGUGGGACCGGCCCGGGCCACGAUGGUGUUCAGUGACAAGACCCAAACUAUUUGCAAAACUCCAGGACAUGCGUCUUUCUGCGGACAAAAACAGACAUUAUCAAAAGCCUGGAAGGAAUCUUUGACUCUCUCCCAUUUGAACAAACAACAGCUUCAAAGUUGUCGACAGUGUACUAAGCAAAGAUACGAGAAUAUCCCCAGAAAGGAAAAUACGCCACGACGAAGUUGUUUCCUGUAUGUGAAUGCUGAGAUUUAAGGAAAUAUCGUGGCUCCCCUUUAACUCACAAAUAAAUUCUUUUUUUUUUUUUGAACAAUUGCUCCCUUUGAGAUUUGCAAAUAGUUCCACUAGUUUACAUAGGUCUUUUUUCCUCCUUCCUUUUAAGUAUACCUCUUAAGUAAGCAGACACUUUAACUUGCCUUCUUAUUAGACAGCUUUUUCUUUAUUGCCUUUUCAUAGCACAGCUAUCAAAAAUAAGAUAAUACGCAAGAUCUGGGACCUAAUCAGCUUUCUAGCUGAGUUUAAAGAGUCUAGAGGCUGUUUAAAGGUAGCUCUGGUUAUGUGUGCGGGCUUUACUGCCUUGUUUGCUCGACCACAUUUUGAUGGAGAGGGUAAUGUGUUUGCUAGAUAAGGCAAAAGGGACCAGCCAAAAAAGCAAGGCUCUGUUUGAUAAACCCUGACAUAUUUAGCCAUUUUUCUCCCACAUGAAACGAAGCUUUAAAACUCUAAGAAAAAUAGAGGUGUUCGUUCAAGCACGCUAAUGUUGAUCAAGACAAAAAAAAAAAAAAA